GUCAGUGUUAAUAGCGGCAAGGGUCCACCCGUUCCCAUUCCGAACACGGAAGUUAAGCUUGCCAGCGCCGAAGAUACUUGUCUGGUGACGGACCGGGAAAAUAGGUCAACGCUGACA
rnacentral:rRNA from 1 species